AUCGAACGCUGGCGGCAGGCCUAACACAUGCAAGUCGAGCGAGCGGCGGACGGGUGAGUAAUGUAUGGGGAUCUGCCCGAUCGAGGGGGAUAACUACUGGAAACGGUGGCUAAUACCGCUUACUAUCGUUUGAACCCUGAGGGGUUUAGCUAGUAGGUGGGGUAAAGGCUCACCUAGGCGACGCUCACUAGCUGGUCUGAGAGGAUGAUCAGCAACACUGGGACUGAGACACGGCCCAGACUCCUACGGGAGGCAGCAGUGGGGAAUAUUGCACAAUGGGCGAAAGCCUGAUGCAGCCAUGCCGCGUGUGUGAAGAAGGCCUUAGGGUUGUAAAGUACUGUCAGCGGGGAGGCGUUACCCGCAGAAGAAGCACCGGCUAACUCCGUGCCAGCAGCCGCGGUAAUUC
rnacentral:rRNA from 1 species